rnacentral:rRNA from 1 species
UACGUAGGGUGCGAGCGUUGUCCGGAAUUAUUGGGCGUAAAGGGCUCGUAGGCGGUCUGUCGCGUCAGGAGUGAAAACUCGGGGCUUAACCCCGAGCCUGCUUCUGAUACGGGCAGACUAGAGGUAUGCAGGGGAGAACGGAAUUCCUGGUGAGCGGUGAAAUGCGCAGAUAUCAGGAGGAACACCAGUGGCGAAGGCGGCUUACUGGUCCAUAACUGACGCUGAGGUGCGAAAGCGUGGGGAGCAAACAGG